rnacentral:rRNA from 1 species
AGCGAACGCUGGCGGCAGGCUUAACACAUGCAAGUCGAACGGGCACCUUCGGGUGUCAGUGGCAGACGGGUGAGUAACACGUGGGAACGUACCCUUUGGUUCGGAACAACUCUGGGAAACUGGAGCUAAUACCGGAUACGCCCUGAUGGGGAAAGGUUUAUCCGCCGAAGGAUCGGCCCGCGUCUGAUUAGCUAGUUGGUGGGGUAACGGCCCACCAAGGCGACGAUCAGUAGCUGGUCUGAGAGGANGAUCAGCCGCACUGGGACUGAGACACGGCCCAGACUCCUACGGGAGGCAGCAGUGGGGAAUAUUGGACAAUGGGCGCAAGCCUGAUCCAGCCAUGCCGCGUGAGUGAUGAAGGCCUUAGGGUU